UAUCCGUUUUUGGGGAUUUUUCUGGAUUUUCGUGGAUUUUCGUGGAUUUUUUGUGGAUUUUUUGUGGAUUUUCGUGGAUUUUCGUGGAUUUUCGGUUCUACGGAUCUAGACCUGAACGCAUCUAGAUGUAAAAAUGAGCAGCAGUAGCUGCGAAUCGGAUGGUAGGCCUGCCAGGAGGAUGGGGGCCCACGAUGGGGGAGUGCCAUUGCUCUAACAUCGCUAUCAUGCAGCUGUUCCAUGAGCUGAAGCAGCAGUUCCCUGCGCUCCCUGAUCACGUCGUUUCCCAGUGCAUCGCCCAGAAUAGCCACGAUCGGGAGACAUGCGCGAGAAGCCUUCGUGCCACUCAAGAGUCACGUCAGUCUCCGGGCGCGUUCCCACCGGCGGCACUUUGCGCCAUCCUCCAGCAGCAGCAGCAGCAGCAGCAACAGCAACAGCAGCAACAUCAUCAACGAGCGAACCAUCUGGCUACGCAGCAGCAACGUUUCUGCACGAUGAGCCAGUUGCAACGCGCCAGCAACAGCACGAACAACAAUACGCGACCACACAGACCAGCCUCGCUGGACAUUGGUAUGGCACGGCGCUGUCCCGUCAGCUGCACACGAGCAGCCACGAUAUCAGCCUCGUCGCCGAUAGCUGCUGACUCAGCCAGCACCCCUUCUUCAGCGCCUGCCGUCUGCACGACCGCGUCGCGCGGUUUCUUCGACGAUUGCACCGGACCGAGCGACGCGAACUGCCUUAACAAAGUCCAGAACGCGGGAAACGAGCCAGCCGGAUUCGAGCUGAACGUGAACGUUGCCUGCAGCCCUGCUGGCAAUCGCGACUUUCGAACGGUGCCUACGAUCGCUGGUGCCUGUAAACGAAGCGAUCUGCUGCUCGACCCACGGACUCAUUACGCCGAACCGUUACUCAACGUGGAGAACACGGGCCCGCAGAUCGAUCACACGCGAAGCUACACCUCGGUUAGUCUGACGCUGAGGCCGCCAUCCUCGGAACCGCAGCCUCCGAUCGACAUCAGAUCACAGGGCUCGAGCCUGACUUACUCGAGCUCCUCCCUGGAUCCCCGGGGCUUUCAAAGCCGUCUUCAGAUUAGCAUCGGCGCGGGAGCCGUUGGCGGUGUGGCGGCUGCGAGAAUCAGACCUCCGAUGGGCCCUGUCAGGCCCAACAGCUUGAUACCGCCGGUACAAACCGGUCCUCAGAGACCACCAGUUGCAGGUCUUCCAGCAGGACCACCUAGUCAGUUACCGAGGCCCACGACGACAAUGAGCGCCCCAACCACACCUUCCGUACCAUCCACGACAAACAUCGCCCCCUCCAUUAGCCUUCCGACAACACCGUCAGGACCGACCACGACCUCGCCGCCCUCCAGUCCCAUUGGCGAACGAAUACCGGCCAAUUCUGAUCAGAACCGAUCGCCGUUGAAUCAAGUGGCGGAGCAUCAAAGGGAAUUGGUCGCCGAGCAGUUAGCAAGAAAAGAUAGACUCGCCAGGGAAUUGAGAGCCGAGAAAGGACGACUCGAAGCUAUGAAGAAAGAAUUGCAGUCCCUCACGAGGCCCUUUGAUUCUUCGAUGCCUCCUCAGGAACUGAAAAAAAAAUUGAGGAGCGAGAUCUAUCAGCUACAAGUUGAAUGCGACAGACUUGCGGAUGAGGUGGAUCAAUGGUCUGACCCAAGAGUACCUUUGGGCGAAACGAACGAAAAGUUUUAUCAGCGUAUUUACACGGGUCAGCCCCUACCAUCCAGGUCUGUCAGCGCCGACCCACCGCCUCUGCCGAGUCAGCCACCCGCCUGGCAACCGGAACCGAGCGGUAACAACGUCGAUAGAGAGGAACGAGACGGACCUUCUUGGGUCUGUAGAAUGUGCACCUUCGACAAUCAUCCAUUGAUGAAUAAAUGCGAACAGUGCGAUAUGCCGAGGCUGUUGGAUCACGGAAAUACAGGUACGACUUCUGGAAAACCGAUAGACAACCUUACGGCCUCGUUAACACGCUUGAACAUCGAUUCGCCACCUUCGUCGCCUCCAGCACCUCUGGCAAAGUAAAAUCCAGUAUCUUAACAGCAUGUCCCCUUUUUUGCUAUGACAUUUUUGUGAAUUCACGAAUUUGUUUCAAACAAUAUUUUGUGAAAUACCGGAGAUGUACGGAACCCCUGUACUUUGUUACUGUGAUCGAAUUUGUUACGAGAGGUGACAUUUCCUAUUGUAAAAUAUUUGCUCGUAAACGAGAAAAUUGUUUUACGAUCACCGCAAGCAUCGAUGUGACAUCAAUAAAACACGACUAUACGACGCACUUAAACGUAACGCAUGGACGUGCACUAUCCUCUUCCUUUUUCUUUUUCUUUUUUUUUUCUUUUUAAAUAAACUCACUUAAAAAUUUGGAUUGAUCUUAACCCGAGGCAUGUUUAAUUUAGCAUAUGUUACAGUGUCAUUUUUUCCUAAUUAUUAAUAGUUUAAUCUGUUUAAUCGCUUCGACGGGUCGGUAAUCGUAAAUUGGCGAAACUCAAGAUAUUCAUAUACGAGUUACACAUCAUCACAACUUCUCUCCGAGCCGGAUAGUGCAUAGUUGGGUGGUAUGAUGUGAACUGCGUUAGAAACGUGAAAACUGUAUAUAAAAUCAUUAUUUAAGUUAAAUAAAAAGUAGCAGCCAACAGAUCGGGAAAGGAGAACAGAAAUUUAAAUGACUUGAUUGAGUUCAAUUUUUUGUUUAUUCAAGAGAUCAACGUAUAACUCGUAUUUUUGAUAACAAUGGAUUCAGGUUUAAGAUUGGAAUACAACGUACCGUAAAAUGUACCAUUCUCGCUUCUGAUUACUAAAUAAUCAACGACUUAUCAGUAGUCUGACUUCUAUUUGUAUGAGUUUUGAAAUACUAUUUAAAAUACAAGAUAUUUGUAGUAA